GAGUAAAGUCGUAACAAGGUUUCCGUAGGUGAACCUGCGGAAGGAUCAUUAUUGAAAUAAACUUGAUAAGUUGUUGCUGGUUCUCUAGGGAGCAUGUGCACACUUGUCAUCUUUGUAUCUCCACCUGUGCAUCUUUUGUAGACCUUUGGGUAUCUCUCUGAUUGCUUUUAGCAUUCAGGAUUGAGGAUUGACUUUUUCCGUCUUUCCUUACAUUUCCAGGUCUAUGUUUUCUCAUAUACUCUAAUGUAUGUUAAUAGAAUGUAAUAAAUAGGCCUUUGUGCCUAUAAAUUGAUACAACUUUCAGCAACGGAUCUCUUGGCUCUCGCAUCGAUGAAGAACGCAGCGAAAUGCGAUAAGUAAUGUGAAUUGCAGAAUUCAGUGAAUCAUCGAAUCUUUGAACGCACCUUGCGCUCCUUGGUAUUCCGAGGAGCAUGCCUGUUUGAGUGUCAUUAAUAUAUCAACCCUUUUGGUUGAAUGUGGGUUUGCUGGCCGCUUUUGAGGUCAGCUCUCCUUAAAUGCAUUAGCGGACAACUUUUUGCCAAACGCUCAUUGGUGUGAUAAUUAUCUACGCUAUUGACGUGAAGCAGGUUCAGCUUCUAAUAGUCCAUUGACUUGGACAAAUUUAUUAAUGGACCUCAAAUCAGGAGGAUACCCGCUGACUA
rnacentral:rRNA from 1 species